rnacentral:lncRNA from 1 species
CACUCCAGCAAUAAUAUAGUAGUCAGCCAAAGGAAUAACUUGUGUUGGAGAUUGUCUUUGCUGCUUUCGGAUAAUGAAGAGAAUGGGCUCUUGAGCGUGAAGGAGGAUGUACUCCACUCCAACCAUCUGGUUCAAGUGAUCCAAGGUCAUCCGCUGCAUUUUGACAACUUCAUUAUUACAAGUUCGGUCGUAGAAUGGGUUACUGCGCUCCGAGAAGUAGUCCAACACACUGCCAUUGUUUAAGAUUGGAAUCCAGGCACUGUCGACCCAGGAAAUUCCCAAGAGGUUAUCUCGGACGUCCACCGCCGCCAUGGCCCCGGCGCUGCCAGCCCGCCGAGCACCGGAAGUGGGGCAGAGCGGCGCCGGCACGCCGGCCGGAAGUCGAACGCCGCCACGGCGGGACGGAGCGGCGCCGCUCAGCGCCGGCAGUCCGAGAGAGCGCCCUCAGCGGCAGAGCCGGGCCUCCGCCUGCACGGGCUCGGGCCUGGGGAG